rnacentral:misc_RNA from 1 species
GAUGAAGAACGUAGCGAAAUGCGAUAAGUAAUGUGAAUUGCAGAAUUCAGUGAAUCAUCGAAUCUUUGAACGCACAUUGCGCCCGCUGGUACUCCGGCGGGCACGCCUGUCCGAGCGUCAUUUCAACCCUCAAGCCCUCCUUCGGGAUGGGCCUGGUGUUGGGGCUCGGCCGCCAUCUCCGGCGGCCGUCCCCUAAAUACAGUGGCGGUCACGUCGCGACUCCUUUGCGUAGUAGAAACACCUCGCUCCGGAUAGCAACGCGGUCCACGCCGUAAAAUCCCCAAUUUUCAAUGGUUGACCUCGGAUCAGGUGGGAAUACCCGCUGAACUUAAGCAUAUCAAUAAGCGGAGGA